GAUGAACGCUGGCGGUGUGCCUAAUACAUGCAAGUCGAGCGAACAGACGAGGAGCUUACUCCUCUGACGUUAGCGGCGGACGGGUGAGUAACACGUGGAUAACCUACCUAUAAGACUGGGAUAACUUCGGGAAACCGGAGCUAAUACCGGAUAACAUGUUGAACCGCAUGGUUCAACAGUGAAAGACGGUCUUGCUGUCACUUAUAGAUGGAUCCGCGUCGCAUUAGCUAGUUGGUAAGGUAACGGCUUACCAAGGCAACGAUGCGUAGCCGACCUGAGAGGGUGAUCGGCCACACUGGAACUGAGACACGGUCCAGACUCCUACGGGAGGCAGCAGUAGGGAAUCUUCCGCAAUGGGCGAAAGCCUGACGGAGCAACGCCGCGUGAGUGAAGAAGGUCUUCGGAUUGUAAAACUCUGUUAUUAGGGAAGAACAAAUGUGUAAGUAACUAUGCACGUCUUGACGGUACCUAAUCAGAAAGCCACGGCUAACUACGUG
rnacentral:rRNA from 1 species